AAUAUUGGACAAUGGGGGAAACCCUGAUCCAGCCAUGCCGCGUGUGCGAUUAAGGCCUUCGGUUUGUGAAGCACUUUUCGCAGGGAAGAAAAGGCUCUGGCUAAUACCUGGAGCUGCUGACGGUACCUGCAGAAUAAGCACCGGCUAACUACCAGCCAGCAGCCGCGGUAAUACGUAGGGAGCAAGCGUUAAUCGGAAUUACUGGGCGUAAAGCGUGCGCAGGCGGUUCGGCAAGAAGGAUGUGAAAUCCCAGGGCUUAACCUUGGAACUGCAUUCUUAACUGCCGGGCUAGAGUAUGUCAGAGGGGGGUAGAAUUCCGCGUGUAGCAGUGAAAUGCGUAGAGAUGCGGAGGAAUACCGAUGGCGAAGGCAGCCCCCUGGGAUAAUACUGACGCUCAUGCACGAAAGCGUGGGGAGCAAAC
rnacentral:rRNA from 1 species